UCCCUGCACCCGAAGGUCAGGGUCCCAAUUUUGGAAAUUUUUUUUUUUUUUUUUUACUUUUUCUCUCUUCAGCUCUGAUCUCCUGGUAACACUCUCCGUGCAAACUCUGAUAUAUUUAGUGGGAAAGAAAUAGUUUCAAAAAAGGAUCUUAAAAGCGUCAGCUUCUGGAAAAGCAGAAAAAUCAUAUAGUCAGCCCCCUCAUGUUUCCUCUGGUGAUGAAACCUCUUCCAUGCAAGAAACAGAUUUUUUUUUUUCCCCUCCCCACCUUUGAAAACACAUAAUUGGGCCAUGCAGAGGCACAGGUGACUUGUAGAAUCAGUCCAUUAAAGUGAGAUUGAGGAAAUAUUCGGGCGGGCAUCUAUCUCAUUUAAGUGUUAAGGUGAGGGGGGCCGGAAUGAGGAGGAAUGUCUUCUUGCAGUAAUUUACCUCCAAAGGUAACACUGAGCAUGGGGCUUAGUUGUUUAAAAGUUAGGAAUCGAAUCUGUGUAAAAGCGUAGGCCUGAUGGAUUAUGACAGCUGACGAGUCACCAGUCACCGGAUAUUUAAGAAAUCAGUUAAAAUAAAUGACGUGGGAAUUUUUCAAAUAAAUAAGUUAUUAUUUUUUUUUAAAUUAGGUAAAAGUUUAUCUACUCUUGGAUACUGUCCCAGGACAUUUGGGGAUGUGGCUUCUUUCUAGAGGCUUAUCAAAGUGAUAGAAAGAUAGUGUCCUCAAGGUAUUUAUUUAUAGGCCACACUGGUUUUUAUGAAAAAUCAAGCAAUUUUUUUCUAGUGUAGUGGCAUCUGAAUGACUCACUCGUUUGUCUUUAGCAGGAAUGCAGAUUAGAAAUGUGUUCUUUAUUUCUCUAACCUAUUUCACUUAGCAAAAAAAAAGCGUUCUUUAAAAGUUUUAAUGCCAGAGUCACACACGUUUUUUGGGGGAGCAAAAAAGCAAAGGGUUGACAGCCCAAAACGUGAAGAAGUUGCCACAGUUUUAAGCAGGACUGUGUUCAGACCAAGAGCGUUUGAGGACUGCAGGUGCCCAUUGGAUUCUAAAUGGUGAGAGGUUGUCAGUGGCGGAAAACACAACCUCUUGGAUAUGGCAAUGAGAUAGCGCUUUGUGGGAGUUUGUGUUGCUAUUUAUUUAAACAAUCUUUGUCAGAUUGAUGAUCUGAAAUCUUGGAGGGAAACAAAACCAUCUCAGUCUGAAAGUGAGACAGGACGAAGAAGAGAAAGAAAUGUGGGUUUUUGUAUCUUUUCUUGUCCACCUUAUCCUUCAUUCACCCUGUUCUGAUAUGCGUACUGUUGGCCUCUUUGUCUUAAUAACUGCGUACUGGAGAAUGAGGAAUCAGAAAUUUCACAAAAGCCUAGCUUCGUUAUUAACGUUCAAUAGUUGUUAAAUGAGGAAAUAAGCUGACAACGACAAAGCUGCUAGCCUGUCUGUCAUGCUUCUUUACCUGACUAGGCUACUCCUAAAUUCAUCUGUUCAAGGGUCUUUUUUGAACGUAUGUGGAAAAAUGAGUUAAAUUUUGAAGACACUUUAGCUUCCUCUUGGUUAGUGAGUUUUCUGAAACUUGUAGAAUUGAAAUUAUGGCAUUAUCAUUAUACUCCAAACUCUAUUGUUUUAAUAGUCAACAUAUUGUUUUUGAUUCCCUCCUGUUCUGCUCUGCGCUAAAUUUUGGAAAGAUUCUGACCAAAACAGUUGGUGACACCGAAGAUAGACUCAAGAGAGAAAGCAAGGGAAUUGUGCUUCUGGACACGAGUCCUGUAUAGUUGCUCCAACUAGUGUUUAAGACUACUCACAUUUUUUUUUCCCUCACAUGAUAAGAAUAUUCAGAUUGGACUGUUCUCUUUGGUUUAUUAGUAGUGGAACCUGUUCUAGGUAAGUUAAACAAAGAUUAGAAGGUUAAAGUAGAUGAAAUUAUUAUUUUUUUCACAAACGCAUUUACUUUCCAAAUCCUACUCUUGAUCUGAAGAUUAAGAUCAAGAGUCUCAGAUAGAUGAUUGAGCUUUGACUGCUAUAGGAAAGUAUUUGCCUGUUUCAGACAAGAUUCCAGCUCCACAUUUCCAAGCCCUUCUGGUUUUUCAGGAACAGGCAGAGGAAUAGGUGUAGGGGAGUUCAAAAAUGGACAAGAGGUUCAAGUGAAACGGUGAUUAGGUUUUCCCAGAGGAUGCAUGAUCCUAGAAAAAACUUACUCUGACGAGGGCUUAGGUUUGGGAUUCAUAAGAUUUAGAAAAAGGAUGUGCUUUGCCUGAAUCUAGAUUUUGUGUGCUGAACAUUUGAGUUACUAGGAAGACGUGACUGCAGUUUUGAAAGUGGUUGUCAGAAUGGUUCCGAGUUAGAGAUUAUUGGCAUGUCUCAACCACUGGUCUGAUGAAGAGAUAUAGUUUUCCUCUUGGGAGCUGUUUCUGUGUCUUAUGAUGCUGUCAAUUUUCUGGUUUCGUGUUGUAAGAGACGUGUGAGUCAAACAACCACCUGCUUGGAGUAAUUGCCUCAAAGAACAACUGGAAAAAGACUUUCAAGAGGGGCAAGGCAGGAAUGACUUGGAUUAUGAGGUAGGAGGCCUUAGAUUCUCCAGGAGAGAACUGUGGUGGGAAUGACAAUGGGUGAUUGUUCAGUUGCCACCUCGAGUUGUUGGAACCACCUCAGGCUGGAGGGAUUUAGGGGGAAAUGGCGCCUUGCCACUUGUUGUGUGUGGUCUGAACCAUCUUGUCAGGAAAACUCUCCCAAGGUGGACUGCACUUGAUUUCUGGUGGUUUCUACUUAUCUCAGAGUUGCUUCCCUUUCGUUUCUAUUGGCAUCUGUAUGGGGGAGAGGAGACUGAGGGCCAAGAUCAUCUCCCCUUACAGUUGAUGUGUCCCUUCUUCUUAGAACCUUUUCUAUUUUGUCCUGAAAAAGGGGCGAGGGAGGAAUUUUCUAGGAAAAGUAGAAAGGGGGAGAGUGUCUGGAGGAGUACACGGUCAAGAAACAGGUGAGUUCCCAACACUGUUGGUAACAUGGAAUUCACCAGAAAGCUCCCAUGGAGAUUUAUUAAUGCCCUCUAACCGUGGCAGGUGAACUGGCAACCAUAGGAAUUUGAGGCUCACCUCUGCCCCCCUUUUGUAAUUGAAAUGUUCCCAGCACACUGCAAUAGAUGGCUAAUUUGAAUGGGCUCAAGAUAUCCCUUGGUAGGACCAUAAGUAAACUGAUUACAAAAGAAACUCGCAUCCAUCUUACUGCGUUCCACUCUGUCUUUUCUCUACUUUCUGCUGUGGUUUAAGGACACCCAGAAGAAAAAAAAAAUCACAGCUCAGUUUAUAUAGCAUAUGAGCAUAAAACGAGCAUUCUGUUUUGUUGUGAAUAUUCAGUUGUUGUCAUCAUAGGAAUUUCAUUUGUGCAAAAAUGAUUUGUAGGUACAUUUAGAAGUACGUGGUUUAUGUGUUUGUGAAAUACAGAGCAUACGUAAACUGAUACUCUGCCAGAAAUGAUUGAUUGUAGUUUAUGGUUGCUCUUUUGAUAAACCCUAUCAUGUCUUAAGAGUGGAGUCAUUUUAGAAAUCAAAAGUACUAUCUCUGCUUUUUCGAAGGCCAUUUAAGAGAGAUGACAUCAGGAGAAAACAAAGUGCUGGGGUAACCCUGAAAACCCUUUGUGAUUUUUGGGAAAAUGUCAAUGUUUUAGUCUCAGCAGAUUCCUGGUAGUGCAAAAUAUCUUAUUUAUAAGUUACAGCCAUUCACGUUCAUCACAAAAUCUCCAGCCUCCUCAAAUCAUGAUAUUUGUCUUUGGGGGUGCUGUACUUUUGUGAUUCUUAGGAACAUGGUGGCCCAGUGCCAAGACCAUGGUAAAUGCCAGGUGUGUACAUGUUGAAUGAAAGGGGAGUUGCUCAUAGUUUUAGCCUCUGGAUUGUGCUUUGCUUUGGCUAAUAGUCAAUUUUACUCAUAUUCCUCAAUCCCCUGGGGAGAAAGACAAUUUGAUCCCAGAAACUAUGGGUAAUCCACACGUGGGUGAGCAAGAGUUAACUAUAUGUGCCAAUGGGCAGUGGGUGGGGGUACAAUGAAUGUGGGGCAUUGUGCACUGAAACAGGAACAGGAUGCCCCUACCUGACCAAGGAAAUGCCAACCUGUAAAAAUUAUAAUAAAAAUAUUUACCUUUCAGAGCGCUGAGACCUGGCUCAAUCAUUUUUGUAAAGCAUUUUACAUCGUGCCAAAAGAAAAAAAGAGUAUUUAAUAAAAUGAAGAAGAUUUUUUUUUUUCAGGUGCUAAUUCUCAUAGAUCAAUUUGACACCCAUUCUGAAAAUGGUUAUUUGGGCCUUUCCAGCUCAGGUCAAAUAUUCAUCUUCUAAAAGUGGGAAUCUAUGUCCAGGAUGAUGAUAGCACUGUGACUUUUGAAAAGACAGCUUAACUAAUAUUUCUUUCUGUUUGUUGUCAUUUAUUUUUAAAAAUAAUAACACAGUCCUCAGUACACCAAGCUCUUGCCAAGAUUAGGCCCAUCUUCUCAGUGGACUUCCCAAGACAAAGUUGCCUUUGUGUAACUGUAACUGGGAGGAUUUGGUGGCACAGGAAACUCAAUGGGGCACUGAAACUUAUUAUUAACAGAAAAUUCAAUGACCUGAUGUGUGUGUGUGUGUGUGUGUGUGUGUGUGUGUGUGUGUGUGUGUUUACUCUGCCAGCUGCUAUCUAUGAUCUAUUUCUCCAUGCAGAUGAUCUCACUAUAUUAGACUUUCCCAGGGAAGAAUAUAAUGGUUUUCCUUGGAGUUCAGUUAGAGGAUAGAAGACCAAAACUGCAGCAUGCUGAUGCAGAGGAGAGCUCACUUCUGUGGAUUAGUUUGUUCAUAAGUUGCUCCAUCUGCAGAGACGCACUCCUGGCCCUGAGACCAAGCCUGGGAAGGCAGGGAUCAUGGAAUAUUCUCUCAGCAAUCUUCCCAGAGGGGAACCUAGAAGGAGUCGCUCCCCGGUAGUGACUGUAGGAGGCACACAGACCCUGACAUCAAUGGAGCCCUUGAUGGAGGCUGAUGACUAAGUAAAGAGCAAGAGCUCCCCCAUGGCACUGGAAAGAGCUUCUCCAAAGGCUGGUAGAACUGUGGCUAUUAGGCUUGGAAACACUAGGACUGCUCUCAAGGUGAGCAUCUACUCCGUCCAGCAAGGUUCUUUGCAUUAAAAAGGCAAUAGUAUAUACGUUCUGCUGAAGGUACGGUGAAGAUCCUGGAUUUACUUUGGACCUUUGUUGAUCAUGGCUUGUGGCCCAGUGAAAAUUAUUUGGAUUUUUUUUUCACCUCCAAGUUGGUUUGGAAGCUAUCAUUGCAAUUAAGAGUCCCUGGAAAAUUUGUUGGGAAAUUAAAAAAACUAAAUAUACAUAAUAAACAGCUAAUAAUUCUAGUAUUUCCUGCAAAUCAUCUUCUUACUAUAUGUACUGAAUGGGACAUUAAAAAUGAACAGCACAGGGGCACCUGGUGGCUCAGUGGUUGAGCGUCUCUGCCUUUGGCUCAGUCAUGAUCCUGGGAUCAAGUCCCGCAUCAGGCUUCCUCCCUCUGCCUAUGCCUCUCUCUCUGUGUCUAUCAUGAAUUAAAAAAGAAAAAAAAAAAAAAGAGAAUAACACACAAAUGUUAAAUUAGACUUAUCUUUAACAAUGUACUAUGUAGACAGAGCUGGUGUCAUUAUUUAUAAGUUAGAAAAAAUUAUCAAAAUACAGACCUAGUAAAUAGGUACACUUGAAAACAAAAGGUAAAUAUGAACUAAAAUGAUUUAAUAAACUAGACAGUGAAAGACCUAUUUUUCUUAUGUAGACAGAGACUCAGCUGUUAUUUGUCGAGUAGCUGCGAUGUGCCAGACACUAGGUACCAGGUAUGCAGGGGAGAAUAAAAGUUCUUUGCCCUCAAGGGGCUUUCUUAGGGGUGUAGCUGGGAUUCAGUACUCUGAAGGAACUACCAAGUACUAAAUCGAUGAUCGUAGGUGGGACUCUCCUACCUGGGUGGUCUAAGAAGUCUCCUCCAGGAAGCUGGAUGCUGAAGGCAUCUGAUGGAUGGGAAGAUCCUCACUGGAUAGAAUAGCAUUUAUGAAGAUCCUAAGCCUGGGAAAGCUUGGCAUGUUGGGGGUCAUAAAGAAGGCUGAUAUGCUGCAGUGCUAGAGUGAAGGGCAGAGGGGGAUGAGGUAGGGUUUGGGGGUUACUGAGACCUAGAGUAUUUAGGCUUGUCAAGACCAUGGGAAAGAGUCUGCAAUUUGUUCCUCCUGAGCCCAGUGGAAAGCCAUGAGAGGUGGUUUGCUAGUUAAAAGAUAAGUGACUGCUGGGUGAAGCCUGGAUUGGAGGGAGGUUGUCCUAGCAGAUGUGGCAAGAAAGACUGGCAGUGAACAUGGAGAGAAGCAUAUGAUUCUUCUGUGCCUCCUCCUGCCUUUUUCUAUAGUGUCUGUUCAGCAGUGGCAGGAGUUUCACCAACUGGUGGAAAUAGCAAGAUUUGGUGAUGGCCUGGACAUAGGAGUGAGGGAAGGAAUGAGGAUUCUAGCUUAAGUUACUGGGUGCAGUGGGGAGACUGAAGGAGAGCAGAUUUGAGGGGAGCAAAGGGAAUCAAGAGCUCUAGUUUGGGCAUGUUUACUGAGUUGCCUGUUAAACUUCACAGGGAGAUGUUCAGUUUCCCUUUGUAUCCAGUGCCAUUAGCAAAACAGGAGGCACUUCUUCUAGGCAACUAUUUUAUAUUUUAAUAUUUCUCUCUUUCUCACUAUGGCCAGAUUUACAAAUACAGGUUAAGUGUGUGACCUUUAUUUAUAUAUCCCAAAUGACAAAAGAAUAUUCUAACACUGAGUAUCUACUGUAUGGAAAACUGAUGGUGGGGGUGGUGGGUUAACAUUAAAAAAUCUUGGGGCUCCUGGCUGGCUCAGUGGGUAGAGCAGGCAACUCUUGAUCU